CCUACCAAACGAUUGAAGAACCAAUGAAGAUGCACAUGUGGUGAUUCUCGUCGUCCUAAGACGUAUAAAUCUCUAAGAAAUCGAGUUGUAGGUUUAUGAAGAGGAAGAAGAGAGAUUUAAGAGGGAUGUGUGUCCCAACCAUGAGAGAGAAAAAUAAAAAUGGGUGAAAUCGUGUGGCCAAGAUUAAAACGUAGAUGAGAUGAUUCGACGGCUCGGUUGAAGUUUCAUUAAUGGCAUUUCUAUAAAUAUCACACCCUUUUCUUUUUAUCAUCCGACGAAACAUAUUUAAACAAAAAAGAUUAGAUCAAAUGGUUCAUAUUGUCUCGUCAUUUAGGGUAUUAUCAUCAUUUUGCACUCCUUAAUCCAUGUAUAUUAACUUAGGUUUUAUGAGAUGAUUUCUUGCCCAUUUGGGUCAAACAAGAUUAAGGUCCAUUUAAGUCUAUUUUUCAGUCAAAUAAUGAGAAUGUGUCGUCCUUAUGUUAAGGAACCAACCUUCUCCAUUUCCCCCACUUUCCUGUGCUUGUAGGAGAUGAUGUCUCCACCUUUCUUCUAGCAUUUUUUUUUCUAUAUAAAUCAAUGAAAAGCCAAAAAGAGGCAAGCAGGAAUUGCCCACAAGUAUUGUGUUUUGUGUUUCUCUACAACUUGUUCUAAAGCUGUGAUUCAACGAGGUCACAUCUAUCACUAACGUUUGAUUCGAGUUAUUUUAAGUGUUCUCCUCUUGUCCAGCUUAUACAAACCGAUUUUUUCUUUGUUGUUCUUUUGAUGGCUAGAGCCUAGGUGUGUUCAGCCAAUGUUUGUUUUUUAUUUAUUCCUUGUUCCGUUCUUAUUGAAUAUAGAUCUACUCUUAUUUGUAUCACUUAAGGUGGAUUAAUGUAUUAAGCUCUAACCAUUGUAUCUGAUUGAGUUAUGGAUUGGCUUCCCUUCA